CCGCGAUGGAAUCCAUUCGUACGUUGAUCGCGAUUCCGAAUUCCGCAACGUGAUAUCGUCCAUCCAGAAUGUUGACAACGACUAGCCCAAGCAUCGUGUAGAUAAGGGAUUUGUGAAACAACAAUCACUGAAACUCGUUUUCAAACUCGGGUACAUGCAGCUCACGCUUAGAACCGUAACUCCUUCCGCCUUCAGCACAAGAUGGGCCUAACAGGCCCCAUUUGACCACUGCACGUCAUGGCGUAACGCAAAAUCAGAACAAAUGAGAAAAACAAGAAAAAGGAUACUCAAAUUGGUUGGGAUCUAAGCCAAAGUUGUCAACAAGCAUAUGCCAUAGGUCCCUUUCGUCUUCUUCUCCCUCUCGUUGAUGCUCGUAACAUUUUGCUGCCAGUUCGUCGUGCUGCAGUCUUGGACGCUAUUCACUACCCCCCUCUUCGACUGAUGUUUCAUAAAAACUCGAAUAUAGCCAAACAAGAUACAAGAGCGUCUCUUUCUAGGAUGUUGGAAACUCUUGUCAUACAACCCAGCCGGCUAGAAAGCGGCCUUCUCGCACUUCCUUUCUCCCUAAUAAUUGAUGUAUUCCUGGUCUAUUAAUCAUGCCAACCUGCUCGCUUUCCCUUCGUCCUUCCUCGUCUUUUGAAGAGGGCUUCUAUGGAAAACAAACCGGUCGCUUAGCUCGCCGUUUGCUCCCCCCAAAACGACCCUUUUAAAAAUAUCUCACACACCCUGCCCUUCGUCUACUCUCAGGGCAUUUUUGAAAAAGAAAAAAUGUUUGAUAGAAUACGUCAAAUAGAUUGACAAUUAAA